AUUGAAAAGCCCUAGCCGUAAGAAACCAUCUCCAUCUUCACGAUCUCUCACUCUUUGGUUGCAGCCAUGUAAGAGGAGCUCUGCCAUUGUUGAUGCAUCACCACCGUAUCUCUUCUCUGUUGUUAAUGGCUUACGAUCUCUAUGAAUCAAUCUCCACCGAAGAACACAGACGUAAUCACCAUAUUGGAGCUGGUUGGCUACGUUACGAGACGGAGAGAGAACGUGACCGUAAGCCGGCGCCACCGCCAUGAUAAUCACCAACCACCACGGAGUUGUGCCCCUGUGAACCUAAACCCACCAGACGUGUGACCUAUAGCACCAGAGAUACUUUUGCGCAGCAGAGAUUUCUUCAUGUCUUAAGCUGAGGAGAAGAGAUGGAUACAUCAGACCCAUGGCUGAGGAGUGGUUUUGCGAGAGGUUUCUAGUACGAUCCAGGGGGUUCUAGGCAACGAGUCAUGGCUCUUUGGAUAGAUAUCGUUACCAGGAAUCUGUAGAAACAAACGGAAUCAAGAUCGGAGUUGUACAGCAAAAGUUAUUGACAUGCUUCUUGGACAAGAAUAAACUUAAGCUGUUGGAAUGCUGAAACAGUUCCGACCAGUGUCAGAGUAAAGGCGAAACGGUCAACCUUAACAAAAGCUUUCAGUCUGGGAAUUUUACAGUAAGUAGUUAACUAUUUCAGUUAUCAUCUCCAACAAAAGGAGUGUCAUUCCAAGUUAUUUUCUGAGAGUUAAGCUUGUUUUCGUGAGAGGUGUUGGUGCAGUCUACGUUUGCGACCAGUCUGGAGACGAAGCUAAUUUGAUUAAUCAGAUGGUGUCCGAUCGGAGUAAACCCGGUGGCUACGGAUAGAGGACAUCUAGGGCUACAUUCUUACCGGAGGGAUUGAAAAGUAACGACUUUCAGAGUUGCUGUGAUAGAGCCAUCAAGGUCUACUCUGUGUUUCUCAGGUUUUCUUUAGAACCCGUGGCAAAGGUGAGACUGACGAGCGGGAGUGAUUGCUAUCGGAUUGGUGCUUUGGGAGUUCUAUUUCUUUUAUUUUCAGACUUUCGAUUUUUUUAUCUUAUCGAUAUUUCGGGAUUUAUCUCUUUUAUUGCAUUUAUGGUUAUUUAUUAGAUUUAUGACUUCAGAGUUGACUUUUGAGAAGUAAUAAAUGGAGAUUUCAGACUUUUUAUUUA